AGGUGACCUAGUGGUUAGAGCGUCCGCCUCGGAUGCGGGAGGUUGCGAGUUCUAUCCUCGGCCUAGUCUU